CAGCAGCCGCGGGAACACAGAGGGUGCGAGCGUUAAUCGGAUUUACUGGGCGUAAAGCGUGCGUAGGCGGCUUUUUAAGUCGGAUGUGAAAUCCCUGAGCUUAACUUAGGAAUUGCAUUCGAUACUGGGAAGCUAGAGUAUGGGAGAGGAUGGUAGAAUUCCAGGUGUAGCGGUGAAAUGCGUAGAGAUCUGGAGGAAUACCGAUGGCGAAGGCAGCCAUCUGGCCUAAUACUGACGCUGAGGUACGAAAGCAUGGGGAGCAAACAGGAUUAGAUACCCGUGUAGUCCCUGUCUCUUAUAC
rnacentral:rRNA from 1 species